rnacentral:rRNA from 1 species
UACGUAGGUGGCAAGCGUUGUCCGGAUUUACUGGGCGUAAAGAGCGCGCAGGCGGUCGUUCAAGUCGCGUGUGAAAGCCCCCGGCUCAACUGGGGAGGGUCACGCGAUACUGAUCGACUCGAAGGCAGGAGAGGGUAGUGGAAUUCCACGUGUAGCAGUGAAAUGCGUAGAUAUCGGGAGGAACACCAGUGGCGAAGGCGACUACCUGGCCUGUUCUUGACGCUGAGGCGCGAAAGCUAGGGGAGCAAACGGG